rnacentral:rRNA from 1 species
AGUGAACGCUGGCGGUAGGCCUAACACAUGCAAGUCGAACGGCAGCACAGUAAGAGCUUGCUCUUACGGGUGGCGAGUGGCGGACGGGUGAGGAAUACAUCGGAAUCUACUUUUUCGUGGGGGAUAACGUAGGGAAACUUACGCUAAUAUAGCAUACGACCUACGGGUGAAAGCAGGGGAUCUUCGGACCUUGCGCGAUUGAAUGAGCCGAUGUCGGAUUAGCUAGUUGGCGGGGUAAAGGCCCACCAGGGCGACGAUCCGUAGCUGGUCUGAGAGGAUGAUCGGCCACACUGGAACUGAGACACGGUCCAGACUCCUACGGGAGGCAGCAGUGGGGAAUAUUGGACAAUGGGCGCAAGCCUGAUCCAGCCAUACCGCGUGGGUGAAGAAGGCCUUCGGGUUGUAAAGACCUUUUGUUGGGAAAGAAAAGCAGCAGGUUAAUACCCCGCUGUUCUGACGGUACCCAAAGAAUAAGCACCGGCUAACUUCGUG